rnacentral:rRNA from 1 species
AUUGAACGCUGGCGGCAUGCCUAACACAUGCAAGUCGAACGGAGGUAGGGGCAACUCUACUUCAGUGGCGGACGGGUGAGGAAUGCGUCGGAAUCUACCCUAUGGUGGGGAUAACACAGGGAAACGUUAGUGCUAAUACCGCAUGAUGUCGAGAGACCAAAGCAGGGGACCGCAAGGCCUUGCGCGAUAGGAUGAGCCGACGCCCGAUUAGCUAGUUGGUAGGGUAAAGGCCUACCAAGGCGACGAUCGGUAGCUGGUCUGAGAGGAUGAUCAGCCACACUGGGACUGAGACACGGCCCAGACUCCUACGGGAGGCAGCAGUGGGGAAUAUUGGACAAUGGGCGCAAGCCUGAUCCAGCAAUGCCGCGUGUGUGAAGAAGGCCUGCGGGUUGU